UCAGAGUCCGAGUGUGAUGCUGAAGAUUCAAAGAUGAUUCAAUCUCUUGCCAAAGACUCUGAUGAUCCUUUUAAUGAGCUCCCUCCUUAUUUUCUGCACCAUUCUCCUUCCAAAUCACCAGAGUGACUACGGGCCAUGCCCUCCAGAUACGUUGUGUGUCUUGAACUGAGCAAGAUGACGGAGAGAAACAGGAGAAUGACAUCUGCAACCAAGCAGGAAGACUUCUGAAUUAAUUUGGAUUCUGCAUACUUGAUGUACAUAUUUUGAUUUUUUUCCUGCAGACCCCUUAGAGGAAUCACCAAUUUUUGUUUUCCAAAUCAACACAUUUUGAAAGAUUUUCCUUCUACUGUUACUUUGUUAAUUAUGGGUAACAAGUCAUGUGACCUGAUGAAUCAGUUGUAAAUCAGGUGGAAACUGACCUUUAAAAUGACCAGGGGUGUGGUCAUCAGUCACAGGUUAUACAUUACCUUAUGUGACCUUUUAAAAGUGUAUCAUAAUCCAAAUUUUUCUCUGUUCACUGCCGCCUGAUCCAGAAUUAAA